rnacentral:piRNA from 1 species
UGAGGUAGCACACUGUAGCAUGAGGA